CGUCAGCUCAUUUUGUAUAUGUAGAANGUUAUGAUGCGAGUUACUCUNUGUAGUAUUGCUUGCACAUACUUUUAUAUUUAUUCGCAAGAUGUUGUCGGCGUGCACUUCUCCCCUAGUAGAACGUCGCGACCCGUUGGGUGUUGGUCUACGACCCGAGUGGGAGACUUUAAUAUUUUNAUAAUAUUAAAGACCCUUGGUGUUUUCUGACCAGCUGCCCGGCGGUACUCGUACGGUAUUUAGCC
rnacentral:rRNA from 1 species